UAAGUUUUAGUGUAAAAGCACUAAAAGUUUGGAACUUUUAAGGUUAAACUUAG
rnacentral:tRNA from 1 species